CCUACGGGAUGCAGCAGUGGGGAAUCUUGGACAAUGGGCGAAAGCCCGAUCCAGCAAUAUCGCGUGAGUGAAGAAGGGCUAUGCCGCUUGUAAAGCUCUUUCGUCGAGUGCGCGAUCAUGACAGGACUCGAGGAAGAAGCCCCGGCUAACUUCGUGCCAGCAGCCGCGGUAAUACGAAGGGGGCUAGCGUUGCUCGGAAUGACUGGGCGUAAAGGGCACGUAGGCGGUUUAUGCAGUCAGAUGUGGAAUCCCCGGGCUUAACCUGGGAACUGCAUUUGAGAGGCAUAGACUAGAGGUCGAGAGAGGGUUGUGGAAUUCCCAGUGUAGAGGUGAAAUUCGUAGAUAUUGGGAAGAACACCGGUGGCGAAGGCGGCAACCUGGCUCGAUACUGACGCUGAGGCGCGAAAGCGUGGGGAGCAAACAGGAUUAGAUACCCGCGUAGUC
rnacentral:rRNA from 1 species